rnacentral:rRNA from 1 species
UUGUCUCUCUUGAGUGGAUCCUGAGUACGACGGAGCACGUGAAAUUCCGUCGGAAUCUGGGAGGACCAUCUCCUAAGGCUAAAUACUCCCUAGUGACCGAUAGUGAACCAGUACCGUGAGGGAAAGGUGAAAAGCACCCCGGAAGGGGAGUGAAACAGUUCCUGAAACCGUGUGCCUACAAGUAGUUAGAGCCCGUUAAUGGGUGAUAGCGUGCCUUUUGUAGAAUGAACCGGCGAGUUACGAUUUGUUGCAAGGUUAAGCGGAAAAAGCGGAGCCGUAGCGAAAGCGAGUCUGAAUAGGGCGUUUAGUAUUUGGUCGUAGACCCGAAACCAGGUGAUCUACCCAUGUCCAGGGUGAAGUUCAGGUAACACUGAAUGGAGGCCCGAACCCACGCACGUUGAAAAGUGCGGGGAUGAGGUGUGGGUAGCGGAGAAAUUCCAAUCGAACUUGGAGGUAGCUGGUUCUCUCCGAAAUAGCUUUAGGGCUAGCCUCGAGGUAAAGAGUCAUGGAGGU